UGGGGAAUAUUGCACAAUGGGCGCAAGCCUGAUGCAGCGACGCCGCGUGAGGGAUGACGGCCUUCGGGUUGUAAACCUCUUUCAGUAUCGACGAAGCGCAAGUGACGGUAGGUACAGAAGAAGCACCGGCCAACUACGUGCCAGCAGCCGCGGUAAUACGUAGGGUGCGAGCGUUGUCCGGAAUUACUGGGCGUAAAGAGCUCGUAGGUGGUUUGUCGCGUUGUUCGUGAAAACUCACAGCUCAACUGUGGGCGUGCGGGCGAUACGGGCAGACUAGAGUACGGCAGGGGAGACCGGAAUUCCUGGUGUAGCGGUGAAAUGCGCAGAUAUCAGGAGGAACACCGGUGGCGAAGGCGGAUCUCUGGGCCAUUACUGACGCUGAGGAGCGAAAGCGUGGGGAGCGAACAGGAUUAGAUACCCCCGUAGUCC
rnacentral:rRNA from 1 species